AUGGCGAUGAGUGGCUGCGGACGAAACUUUAAAUUGCAUUGUCUUGGUUUGGCUUCCCACGAUCACAGUAUCACCCGGCUGCGGUCCCGUGUUAUUCAUCUUCAUGAUGGCGAUGCUAAUACCUCUUUCUUCCACCAACAUUCCAGAUAUUGUAAGAAGAAGAAUUUUGUACCCAAGUUGAAGGUUGGUGAUCAGGUCGUUACAAACCGAGGGGAUAAACAUGAGGCUGUGCUGAAUUACUAUGAAAACCUCAUUGGUUCGUCUCAGGUUCGGGAUUUUUCCUUGGACCUCUCAGGUUUUCACUUCCAGCAGCAUGAUUUGGUUUCUUUGGAGGAGCCUUUUUCGGAGGAUGAAGUGUGGGCAACCAUCAAAGACUUGCCGUUUGAUAAAGCACCUGGACCUGACGGGCUUGCUGGUUGUUUUAUAAGUCAUGUUGGGAAAUUAUCAGAGUGGACCUGCUGCUAG
rnacentral:rRNA from 1 species